AGAUGUGAGCGCAAUCUGGCUGCAACAUCUGUCACCCCCUUGAUCUUCAGGGUUGAUUCGGCUGAUCUGGCUGACUAGGCGGGUGUCCCCUUCCUCCCACACUGCAUGUCCCUCCCGAAGCUGUGUGCUUGGUCGAAGAGGAUGGCCUUCCCCGAAUAGAGAUGGACCUGUCUUCGGUCAAAGGUAUAUGAGUAGCUGCGACCCCCGUGCUAGAACCUCCAAACAAGCUCUCGAGAUGCCACCUCACAUUGUGAAAAUGGUCUGCCUAAAAAAAUUUGAAAACAACAAAUGUUGGUGUGAAGAUAGAGAAAAAAAGGAUUUCUGGUACACUGUUUAUU
rnacentral:snRNA from 1 species